rnacentral:tRNA from 2 species
GCACGUGUGGCGCAAUCGGUUAGCGCGUUCGGCUGUUAACCGAAAGGUUGUUGGUUCGAGCCCAACCAUGUGCG